rnacentral:rRNA from 1 species
UACGAAGGGGGCUAGCGUUGUUCGGAAUUACUGGGCGUAAAGCGCACGUAGGCGGCUCGAUCAGUCAGGGGUGAAAUCCCAGGGCUCAACCCUGGAACUGCCUUUGAUACUGUCGAUCUGGAGUAUGGAAGAGGUGAGUGGAAUUCCGAGUGUAGAGGUGAAAUUCGUAGAUAUUCGGAGGAACACCAGUGGCGAAGGCGGCUCACUGGUCCAUUACUGACGCUGAGGUGCGAAAGCGUGGGGAGCAAACAGG